rnacentral:rRNA from 1 species
AUUGAACGCUGGCGGCAGGCCUAACACAUGCAAGUCGAACGAGUGGCGGACGGGUGAGUAAUGUCUGGGAAACUGCCUGAUGGAGGGGGAUAACUACUGGAAACGGUAGCUAAUACCGCAUACCAUAGGCUGUGCCCAGAUGGGAUUAGCUAGUAGGUGGGGUAAAGGUUGACUUAGGCGACGAUCCCUGGCUGGGCUGAGAGGAUGACCAGCCAGACUGGAACUGAUGCACGGUCCAGACUGCUACGGGAGGCAGCAGAGGGUGAUGUUGCGCAAUGUGCGCAAGCCGGGUGCACCCAUGCCGCGGAUACGAAGAAGGCGUUCAAGUUGUAAAGUACGUUCAGCGGGGAGGCGUUACCCGGAGAAGAAGCACCGGCUAACUACGUGCCAGCAGCCGCGGUAAUUC